CCUACGGGUGGCAGCAGUGGGGAAUAUUGGACAAUGGGGGCAACCCUGAUCCAGCCAUGCCGCGUGUGUGAAGAAGGCCCUCGGGUUGUAAAGCACUUUCAGUGAGGAAGAACGCCUGGUGGUUAAUACCCAUCAGGAAAGACAUCACUCACAGAAGAAGCACCGGCUAACUCCGUGCCAGCAGCCGCGGUAAUACGGAGGGUGCGAGCGUUAAUCGGAAUUACUGGGCGUAAAGCGCGCGUAGGUGGCUUGAUAAGCCGGUUGUGAAAGCCCCGGGCUCAACCUGGGAACGGCAUCCGGAACUGUCCAGCUAGAGUGCAGGAGAGGAAGGUAGAAUUCCCGGUGUAGCGGUGAAAUGCGUAGAGAUCGGGAGGAAUACCAGUGGCGAAGGCGGCCUUCUGGACUGACACUGACACUGAGGUGCGAAAGCGUGGGUAGCAAACAGGAUUAGAUACCCCGGUAGUC
rnacentral:rRNA from 1 species